rnacentral:misc_RNA from 1 species
GAUGAAGAACGCAGCGAAAUGCAAUAAGUAAUGUGAAUUGCAGAAUUCAGUGAAUCAUCGAAUCUUUGAACGCACAUUGCGCCCGCCAGCACUCUGGCGGGCAUGCCUGUUCGAGCGUCAUUUCAACCAUCAAGCCCCCAGGGGCUUGUGCUGGGGCCCUGCGGCUGCCCGCAGGCCCUGAAAACCAGUGGCGGGCUCGCUAGUCACACCGAGCGCAGUAGCACAUCUCGCUCAGGGCGUGCGGCGGGCUCCUGCCGUGAAACCCCCCACUGUAACCCCAAAGGUUGACCUCGGAUCAGGUAGGAAUACCCGCUGAACUUAAGCAUAUCAAUAAGCGGAGGA